UAGGGAAUCUUCCGCAAUGGGCGAAAGCCUGACGGAGCAACGCCGCGUGAGUGAUGAAGGUCUUCGGAUCGUAAAACUCUGUUAUUAGGGAAGAACAAAUGUGUAAGUAACUAUGCACGUCUUGACGGUACCUAAUCAGAAAGCCACGGCUAACUACGUGCCAGCAGCCGCGGUAAUACGUAGGUGGCAAGCGUUAUCCGGAAUUAUUGGGCGUAAAGCGCGCGUAGGCGGUUUUUUAAGUCUGAUGUGAAAGCCCACGGCUCAACCGGGGAGGGUCAUUGGAAACUGGAAAACUUGAGUGCAGAAGAGGAAAGUGGAAUUCCAUGUGUAGCGGUGAAAUGCGCAGAGAUAUGGAGGAACACCAGUGGCGAAGACGACUUUCUGGUCUGUAACUGACGCUGAUGUGCGAAAGCGUGGGGAUCAAACAGG
rnacentral:rRNA from 1 species